UCCGGUUUGUCACCGGCAGUCUCUGCAGAGUCCUCGGCUUUACCCGUUAGCAACAGCAGAUAAGGGUUGCGCUCGUUGCGGGACUUAACCCAACAUCUCACGACACGAGCUGACGACAGCUAUGCAGCACCUGUGCUAGAGUCCCGAAGGAGGCCUCCGCUUUCACGGAGGUUUCUCUAGCAUGUCAAGCCCAGGUAAGGCUCUUCGCGUUGCUUCGAAUUAAACCACAUGCUCCACCGCUUGUGCGGGCCCCCGUCAAUUCCUUUGAGUUUCAGCCUUGCGGCCGUACUCCCCAGGCGGGGCACUUAACGCGUAAGCUGCGACACGGAGAGGGCCGAUCCCCCCCGCAUCCAGUGCCCAUCGUUUACAGCGUGGACUAC
rnacentral:misc_RNA from 1 species